AGCAUAUCAAUAAGCGGAGGAAAAGAAACCAACCGGGAUUGCCUCAGUAACGGCGAGUGAAGCGGCAAGAGCUCAAAUUUGAAAGCUGGCCCCUCCGGGGUCCGCAUUGUAAUUUGCAGAGGAUGCUUCGGGUGCAGCCCCCGUCUAAGUGCCCUGGAAUGGGCCGUCAGAGAGGGUGAGAAUCCCGUCUGGGAUGGGGUGCCUGUGCCCGUGUGAAGCUCCUUCGACGAGUCGAGUUGUUUGGGAAUGCAGCUCUAAAUGGGUGGUAAAUUUCAUCUAAAGCUAAAUAUUGGCCGGAGACCGAUAGCGCACAAGUAGAGUGAUCGAAAGAUGAAAAGCACUUUGAAAAGAGAGUUAAACAGCACGUGAAAUUGUUGAAAGGGAAGCGCUUGCGACCAGACUCGCCUCCGGGGUUCAGCCGGCAUUCGUGCCGGUGUACUUCCCCGGGGGCGGGCCAGCGUCGGUUUGGGCGGCCGGUCAAAGGCCUCCGGAAUGUAGCGCCCUUCGGGGCGCCUUAUAGCCGGGGGUGCAAUGCGGCCAGCCUGGACCGAGGAACGCGCUUCGGCUCGGACGCUGGCAUAAUGGUCGUAAACGACCCGUCUUGAAACACGGACCAAGGAGUCUAACAUCUACGCGAGUGUUCGGGUGUCAAACCCGUACGCGCAGUGAAAGCGAACGGAGGUGAGAGCCCCCCCGUGGGGCGCAUCAUCGACCGAUCCUGAAGUCUUCGGAUGGAUUUGAGUAAGAGCGUAGCUGUGGGGACCCGAAAGAUGGUGAACUAUGCCUGAAUAGGGCGAAGCCAGAGGAAACUCUGGUGGAGGCUCGCAGCGGUUCUGACGUGCAAAUCGAUCGUCAAAUUUGGGUAUAGGGGCGAAAGA
rnacentral:rRNA from 1 species